rnacentral:lncRNA from 1 species
UGAAGGGGUCCGUGUCCCGUGCCCUGAUCCGACUAGCAGCGGCUCCUCGGUGGUUCGCUCCAGACUGUGUCCUUGUUGAAUUGUCAGUACUCAGUAGCGUGUCGUCGUUUCGCCCGUCCGUCUUUUUACCUGUCGCCGUGUCUUCGUCGCCGUCUGUGUAUCCCGUGUACACCGGAGGUGCACCCGCCCAUCGCCACCCGCCCGUGUCUUGUUUUAGCCGCAGCUUAUUCCGUUCAUUUCGAUAGCACAAUGCCAUGUAUGAGAUGUUUUCCUGGUGCACUUGCUGCUGUCAUGUGUCUCCUGUGUGCUUGGUUCAGUGAUUUUGCUCAUCUCAGAAUUAAGUCCAUCUUCUUUCUUAUGGGUUGUUUGUUCACUGUGCAUAUUUCUGUGGAGAAUCAUUCUGCCAUGGCAAGGCACCUCAUGGGUGCUUGUGCAAAGGCUGAACUAAGCCUGGAAAAUAUAGGCAAAUCACAGCACAAAAUUGUCCUUGGUUUCUCGGAAACUACUCCCUCCGUUCCUAAAUACUCACUCCGUUUUUAUUUACUCUGCAUAGAGAUUUCAAUACGAACUACGCCUUUUUAGAUAUUUCAAUAUGAACUACAUACAGAUGUAUGUAGACAUAUUUUAGAGUAUAUUCACUCGUUUUGCUCUGUAUGUAGUUUAUAUUUGGAAUCUCUAAAAGGAUUUAUAUAUAGGAAUGGAGGGGGUAUGAAACAACUGCAUGUACAUCAUCACACUUGUCUCAGUUCAUCCAUAUAAAGAAGAGCUAACCCAUGGCUCAUCAUAAUGUAGUAAAACACUAUUACUAUACUAUCUACUCCACUGAUAUAAACAGAGUAGCAGCAAAAAGUUACUACAUCUCAAGUCAGCUAACAUGGUUACACAGAUGCAGAGAGCAGCACACAUUGCAUCAUCUUUGGUGCUGGCUGCAGUCUGCGGCAGCUGCUGAAGGGUACCAGAACCUGUUAGACAGGCCCUGCACAUGAGCAUCCCAGGCGCUCCUCAGGGUGGUCUCAAGGGAGCGGUUCACCCCGCCGACACGUUGCGAAUCGGACCGAACCGGGCUGCCCUGCUCCUGGUAGUGCAGCCGGUCGCUCAGCAUGCGGCGGCUCAUGCUCCCGGCAUCGCUGCUCGGCGCGGAGAUGCAGCCGCCGGACUCCACCACCAUGUCGCCCUCCAGGAUGCGCAGAACCUGACAAACAGUUGGGACAUACAAGAAGAAAGGUAAGCAACUAGGCACAACAUGGACACUGAAUACUGAUCAUGCUGAGAGCUUCAGGGGGUGAAAUGUUUGUGUGGGAGUUGACUGACAUGGGACAUUCGCGGCCUCGAAUGCGGGUCGCGCCGUAUGCAGAGGUUCGCCGCGUGCAGCAUGCAGUAGACCUCGUUCUCACAGAAGCGGUCCUCGAGGCGCGGGUCGAUGAGCUCGUCGAUCGCGUGCUCUUCCAGCAAUGGCCGGGCCUGUUGCAAACCAAGUUGAAUAGGGUUAGAAUUUAGUUAUACCAGGACAGGAUCCUUCCAAUGAAGGCUGGGCCUGUCGGAGCAGAUGGAUCAAAGCAAUACAAAAUUCAUUUUGCUUUCGGAUUCUAUUGCUGAUGGAGCAUAAACAGGCAUGCAAAUAUCUAAACGCUCUAGUUUACAGAGGGAGUACCACUUAACUAUCGUAUGUAUUCCUUCAAGAGUAUUUUUUUUUCAGUUGGUGAAAACUACCGCUUAGCUAUCAUAUUCGUACAGUAUGGUUAUACCACCACAGUAGGUUCUUGCCAUUAACCAGUGGAAAAUAAAAUUCAGAAAGGGAAUUAUGAUAGUACUAUCAAUCAUCUAAUUAUUAUGAUGUGAGCUCACCCAUUCAGUCAGGAAUUGCUGGCCCUUGGGCCUGUUAAUAUCGACGGCCUUGCGUCCAGUGACAAGCUCCACAAGAACAACUCCAAACGAGUAGACAUCGGCCUUCUCCGUAAUUUGCCCGCUCUGCGCAUAUUCAGGGGCUAGAUAACUGCAUAACGGUAAAAGAGGCUCAGAUUUUUCCCAAAUCACAAGUUACACCUGACCAAGCAUGGGGAAACUUUUUGUCUGAUCAAUUACCCAAAUGUGCCAAUGACUCUUGUAUCGACACCCAUGUCCCCAUCAGGUUGCCAUCUAGCCAGGCCGAAAUCGCCGACCUGUCACACCAUCAUGAAGGAAGAGACUUAUUUAGCACUGUGGAGCAAAGAUAACCAGAUACUUAUUUAGCACAUAGCUUAGCUUAAUAAAGUUCCAACAUAAUCAUGUAGGGUAUGUGGUAAGCUUUCAUAGCAUUGAAAUCACCCAAAUGGCCUUGUUUGCAUUGUAGUACUAACAAAGGUUGAUGCUCAUUUCAUACCAGUGGCUCGAAAUCAUGCGUGACGAGGAUGUUGUUCGGUCUCAUGUCGCGGUGGAUAAUGCAGCCGACCCUGCAUUCCUCAUGGAGGUACCGCAGCCCCCUGGCGGCGCCGACCGCGAUCUUCUGCCGGGCAGCCCACCCCAAGGUCUCCUUGUGACGGCCUAACAGAGCACAACCAAUGGAGUUCAGUUAGCAAGGCCACACACUCAUGCACUGAAGGAAAUAUUGGUGCAUUUCUAUCUCAACAACUGAAUUUGUCACACUGAGUUUUGCAUGAUGAGAUGAUCAGCUUACCAUAGAGAUGAGUGUCCAGUGAUCUGUUGCAGAUGUACUCGUAGACCAGCAGCCUCCUCUUGCCCUCGACGCAGAACCCGAUGAGCAUGACGACGUUCCGGUGCUGCGCGCAGCUGAGCACCUCCACCUCCGAGCAGAACUCGACGUCGCCCUGCGAGCUGCUGGCGAGCCUGUGCUGCUUGACGGCGAUGGCCUGGCCGUCAGGCAGCACCCCUCGGUGCACCGACCCGAACCCACCCUCGGCCAGGAAGUUGGCCCUGGAGAAGCCGCCGGUGGCGUGCUCCAGCUCGGCGUAGCUGAACCACCGCGGCGGCUUCCCGAACACCGGCGUCUUGUGCUGGCACACCGAGCAGAGCGGCGGCGGCCCCGGCGCAGGGGUCCGGGAGAGGGACACGACGUCCCUGACGUUGCCUCUGAAGUUGAGGUCGGACCUGCUCCUCACGGCGCUGAUCUCGGUCAGUAGGUCCAGCUUGGCGAUCUUCUCCAGCAGCGCGUCCGCCGUCGGGGUUCUUCGGCGGGUUGGUGUUGGUCUUGGGGAUGCGGCGGGUCGCUGCAGGAUGUCGGCCAUCCAUGGCUGGAGUGACGGCGAGGCUGCUGCUGAUGCUGCCUGAGGAGUUGGAGCUGAAGCUUCACUGUCAGGGCCAGAUAGUACAUUGGCUGCUUCUCUCUUGAGAGGGCUACUAUCUGUUUCUGAAACACAAACUGUAGUGGUGCCAUGGCCUGAGCUUGCGGCGGAGGAUGCUCCGGUGGAAUCGUCGAACGCCUCCGUCUCCGGCGAGCUGCUGUCUGUUUCUGAAGCGAACAAUGGAGAGGUUGCAGGGUCUGUUGAGCUUGACACAGAGGUUGCAUCGGCAUUCCUGGUUUCUUCUUUCUUCAGAGAGCUGCUGUCUGUUUCUGAAGCACGCAAUGGAGAAUUGCCUGGGUUUGUUGAGUUUGACACAGAGGAUGUUUCCUCGGAUUCUUCUUCUUCCUUCUUCAUCAGAGAGAUGCCUGAUUCUUCUAAAGCACACAAUGGAGAAAUGCCCGGUUCUUCUGAAGAACUUGGCACGGAGGACGCUCUCACAUCCUCUGCUUCUUCCUUCUUCUUCAGAGAGAUGCAGAUGACGGCUUCAGAGGAAGCAGACAGUGGAGAAGCUGCGCCGGGGUCCGAGGUCGACACGGAGGAGGACGCUCCGGCGUCGUCGGUGCUGCCGGACGGCGUCUCUGAGUCCGGGAUGCAGCUCGGCGUCUUCACGGCGGGUUCCCGGACCGAGACCAUCUCGUGCUCCACAUCACCUGAAGCACUGGGCUCGGGCUGGGGCGGAGGAGCUGCCGGCUCCGGGCGUGUCUCCUCCGUGGAGCAGGCGAGGUUGAGCCGGAGCACCUUGGGCCGGGAGCGCCUGACGGCGACGAUGUUGCACUGGAGCUCCUCCAUGCAGCGCGUCUCCUCAACCUUGAGAUCCCUGAAGUAAAUGGCAACAAAUGCAACAUCGCACCACUGACUACUGAAGAAACUGAGCAGCUGCUGUGCGACAUUAUCACAGUACCUGUCGAGCACGACCCAGCUCGCCAGCGCCCGCUUCGCCUCGGCGGCCACGGCGCCGGGGCCCGCGCCGGCGACGAUCCUCACCCUCAGGUUCACCUGCACCAUGCUCAGCAACAGGAGGGAGGCACUUCAUUCAGACAAGUUUCGGUGGACGGGGCAGAGUGACGAACAACAGAGCAGCGGGUAGCUGACCUUGGUGGGGUCGUAGAGGUCGCGGAGGGUGAGCGUCAUCUGCGCGCAGAGGUCGGAGACGUCGGAGCGCUGCGCCGGCGCCGCGGCGUGGGCGCUGGCGCAGGCCCCCGCGAAGAAGGGGAAGCUCCACGGCCUUCUACCUGGAGGACGGACAAAUUAAAGGGGAAGAAAGGACACACACUCUGAGCACGCAUCCGUGAGUGACCAGGGGAGGGGACGACAAUGAUCCGGGGGAAGGGGAAGGUUAGGUGGGUACCGGAGGCGGCGGCGGGCGGCGGCGGCGGCAUGAGGACGAGGAUGAGCACGGCGUCGCCGGGCCGCGCGACGUGCGCCAGCGCCCACGCGGCCGCCGCCCGGGGCACCUCCCUGGCGGCGGCCCGCGCCGCCACCACCACCGCCGCGCGCGUCGGCUCGCCGGCCGCCAUCCGCGGAGCGCAGUCAGGCUUCGAGCUUCCGCCGGCGUGCUGGCUUCUCUUUUGGCAGCGCGCUGUUCGAAUUUGGAUUUUGGAAGCGGGGGAGCAGAAGAGCAGAGAUGAGAAGACCUGUCAGUGAGUGAGGGUGAGAUGGUCUUCUUGUCCUGUCUUUUUCAUGUGGUUUGAAAAAAGAGGGCAGAGCUAUUAUUGCUAGCGCUACUCAGCUACUGGUACUGUCACAUUCAGUGCAAGUGCCAGUAAUGCUGCUGAGGGUACCAUGAUUAUACCUGGCCAUCCGUCGGGCCGGGCCGGGCCUACCCAAGCCCGACGUAGAAAACCCAGGACCGAGCUUGUCCCAGCCGUCGGCCCAAGCCUGGCCCGGGUCUUCUCCUUAAACAGCAAAUAUGGCGGGCCCAAGCCCGGCCCGACCCGGCCAUCAGACUCAAACUCUAGGCCCAGGCCCGGCCUGUGGGCAAGGAUAGGGCUAGAUCGGGCUUUUUUAGGCCGGGUUGGGUUGGGCCAUCCGGGCCAGGCUGCCCAUGGCCAGGUAUAACCAUGAUUAAGACAAAGAACAAAUGGCCAAAACCCAGAGUGAACAUUACAUGGUUGACGGUACCACCUAAAUAAUAUGCUACUUUGACAACUUUGUCUUGAUCCAUCCAUGAUUAAUCCCUUUUCUUCAAACAAAAGAAAAAAAAAAUCUUUGGUUAGAAAUCUGAAAUUGAAAAAAAAAUUAUACUUGAAUUCGAAACAUAGGAUAAUAAACACAAAUGAUAAAUUCAUGAUCCAGCAUAGUUUCUUUAUCAUUUCGUUAGCAAUCCAUGAUCCAGCAUAGUUUCUUUAUCAUUUCGUUAGCAAUCCAUGAUCCAGCAUAGUUUCUUUAUCAUUUGUGUUUAUUAUCCUAUGUUUCGAAUUUAGUACUCCCUCCAAUUCAGUACAAGUUUGUACUAGACCUGUGUCAAUUAAUAUGGAUUGAAGGAAGUAACAUACAUGGUCGACUAUAGUAUACUCGUGUAUGAAGUUUCACGAACAAAUGGCAUCCGUGGUAUGUUUGGCAAAAAUGACAACAUUGAAGCUGUAUUUGAAAACAUGGUUUGAAGGUAUAUAAGGCCGGAUUGUAUUUUCUUCACUACGAAAUAUGCCACGCGUGUCAAUCCUAGAUGAAACUACAUACUACUGAGAAUGCUCGAUCAAGUUUGAUAGCCCAAAAUUUGAGAUUUUUUUUAUUUUUUCUAGUAUUUUUCUAGAACUUAUUAUGCAUUUAUGCAUGUGGGUUGUAUACAUGCAUAGUAUCCUGUGCACCGGGUUACAUGGUGCUACCAGUGUGUCUGGUUAAAAAAAAUCAAUUUGCAAAUGUUGAAAAAUCCCGAAAAAAUCUUUAUAUUGCAGUCCUAAAUUCGGAACAUAGGAUAAUAAACACAAAUGAUAAAGAAACUAUGCUGGAUUCAAGGCCCGUUUGCAUUGGCCCCUAUCCACAUGUUGAUUUUUUUUCCGGUUGUUCAUAUGUAAUACUACAUCCAUCCUGAUUUAUUGGUCCCUUGUAUUUUGUGUCAAAUUUUGAUCAUAAAUUUAGCUAACAAAAUAUGAAUGCAUGUCAAGAAAAAUUAUACCCUUGGAUUUGCAUUUGUACAUAGUUUUUAGUGAUGCUAUUUUCGUUGACAUGUAUUAACAUUUUUUUUGUUAAAUCUAAGAUCAAAAUUCGACACAAAUUACGAAGGGGACCACUAAUCAGGACGAAGGUAGCUUGGGGCCCAGUUCUUUUGCCAGAAUCUGGGGAUUCUCCCAGAAUCCGACCCCUACCCAGGUUCUAUCAGAAUCUUUGAGUCACAUUUGUUUUACAAUUCUAUCUAGCUGGGUAGGGGCCGGAUUCUCGGAGAAUUCCCAGAUUCUUCUGGCUAAAGAACUGGGCCUGAAUCCGAUGACAUGAAUGGCCAGGGAACAAGCGUUCGUAGUAUAUUCUCUUGUUCGAACGGGAAAAAGGGAUGGACUGAAUCCGAUGCCCUGGAUCGUUUCAUUCAUGCAUGCAUGCAUGCGUGCCGGCACGGAGGUCAAGGCAGGCGGCUUUAAUUUGCAUACGAAGGUGAGAGCUGGGUCUCUUUUCGUUUUGAUCAUUGCAUAUGCGUUUGUGUCCUUUAUCGUCUGGAAACCUGCGCCGCGUUGGCGAGCCAUGCAUGUAAUUUUUGAACCUGGAGAGAGCCAAACAAAUUUGAGACCGUAGAGCAGGCAUGCAUGCACUUGAAACAUUUCUUCGCUCCAAGAUUCGUAUAUGCAUGGAGGCUAAUUACCUGUCAGUCACAGUGUGUGUGCACGUACGAUCGAGACGGCCAAGCUACCCAACUGCACGGAAGACUCAUCAACAGUUUGUACGUGACAUGAUUUCCUUUCCAGACGGGAUUAAUGCCAUGGACACAUGAGCUGAUGUGCGACGCUCCCAUGCAAUUGCAAUGCAAAAGCAUGCACCACGAAUGUACUCAAGUUCAAAUUAAAGACGACACACCAGGUCCAUGUGUGAGUCUCUGUGAUCCAUGGAGUACUAUGUGGGGUGCUGCUUUUGUCUACACCCAACUUUACCUUGAAGAGUAUAGAAGGUCGGUGGGACCAUUUCCAUGCAUGCAUACAUGCUGCAGAAGCUGAUCCACCGAGGUGAUUUUCUUCUCUAUAUAUCUUUGAUCGAUCGAAAUGACACGUCGAACGUGGAGUUUCAGCUCCAGACCUCAAUUGCACCUUGAAAAAAAAAUA